GGAGGUCCUACCAUGCUGGAUGGGAGAGUUAUGUUAUACCAUGUGGACAUAGAGGGAGGAGGGAGGUCCUACCAUGCUGGAUGGGAGAGUUGUGUUAUACCAUGUGGACAUAGAGGGAGGUCCUACCAUGCUGGAUGGGAGAGUUAUGUUAUACCAUGUGGACAUAGAGGGAGGAGGGAGGUCCUACCAUGCUGGAUGGGAGAGUUGCGUGUCGACCCAGUACUACUGCUGGAUCCAUACUUCUCCAAAAGCUCUGAAAACUCUCUCCUGUAAGAAACCAAAG
ensembl:lncRNA